AGUGAACGCUGGCGGUAGGCCUAACACAUGCAAGUCGUACGGCAGCACAGGAGAGCUUGCUCUCUGGGUGGCGAGUGGCGGACGGGUGAGGAAUACAUCGGAAUCUACCUUUUCGUGGGGGAUAACGUAGGGAAACUUACGCUAAUACCGCAUACGACCUACGGGUGAAAGUGGGGGACCGCAAGGCCUCACGCGAUUAGAUGAGCCGAUGUCCGAUUAGCUAGUUGGCGGGGUAAUGGCCCACCAAGGCGACGAGCGGUAGCUGGUCUGAGAGGAUGAUCAGCCACACUGGAACUGAGACAGGGUCCAGACACCUACGGGAGGCAGCAGUGGGGAAUAUUGGACAAUGGGCGCAAGCCUGAUCCAGCCAUACCGCGUGGGUGAAGAAGGCCUUCGGGUUGUAAAGCCCUUUUGUUGGGAAAGAAAUCCUGUCGAUUAAUACUCGGUGGGGAUGACGGUACCCAAAGAAUAAGCACCGGCUAACUUCGUGCCAGCCGCCGCAGUAAGAC
rnacentral:rRNA from 1 species